AUGCCCAGUAUGUAGCUUCAUCUAAUCUCCCAUCAACUCUGACCAGCUUCCCUGUCCCUGCUCAAGAAACCACAACACCAUGCUGCCACCACCAUACAUCACCGUGGGGAUGCUGUGUUCAGGCACUCUACCCUCUGGAGAUGGUCUUCUGUUGUGAGCUGCACACCUGUAGCUGAUCUGCUCAUUACAUACAGAAUUUUUGGGAUUCAACUACAGAACUCCAAUGCCUGAGCAUACAUUUUGGUUGAGAUGUUUUGGGAUUCAGCUCUCCAGUGCAAACCUCAAGAUCUUUGACUCUUUCUUGGAAUACAAACUCACCUGGAAUCUCACCUUCUAACCCAUCUAUCAUCUCCCCUCAAAAGAAUAAGAGAGAACCAAGCACAUUCCAACCUGUCUGUCCUUGGUCCUCUCUGUUAGGUCAUAGAACAGGGUUAGGUAAUGAAGUAGGCAGGGGUUAUUGA